UACGUAGGGUGCAAGCGUUGUCCGGAAUUAUUGGGCGUAAAGGGCUCGUAGGCGGUUCGUCACGUCGGGAGUGAAGACUCGGGGCUUAACCCCGAGCCUGCUUCCGAUACGGGCAGACUAGAGGUAGGCAGGGGAGAGCGGAACUCCUGGUGUAGCGGUGGAAUGCGCAGAUAUCAGGAAGAACACCGGUGGCGAAGGCGGCUCUCUGGGCCUUACCUGACGCUGAGGAGCGAAAGCGUGGGUAGCGAACAGG
rnacentral:rRNA from 1 species